GACGAACGCUGGCGGCGUGCUUAACACAUGCAAGUCGAACGGAAAGGCCCUGCUUUUGUGGGGUGCUCGAUUGGCGAACGGGUGUGUAACACGUGAGUAACCUGCCCUUGACUUUGGGAUAACUUCAGGAAACUGGGGCUAAUACCGGAUAGGAGCUCCUGCUGCAUGGUGGGGGUUGGAAAGUUUCGGCGGUUGGGGAUGGACUCGCGGCUUAUCCGCUUGUUGGUGGGGUAGUGGCUUACCAAGGCUUUGACGGGUAGCCGGCCUGAGAGGGUGACCGGGGACAAGGGGACUGAGAGACGGCGCAGACGGGUACGGGAGGCAGCAGUGGGGAAUAUGGCACAAUGGGCGGAAGCCUGAUGCAGCAACGCCGCGUGCGGGAUGACGGCCUUCGGGUUGUAAACAGCUUUCGCCUGUGACGAAGCGGGAGUGACGGUAAUGGGUAAAGAAGCACCGGCUAACUACGUG
rnacentral:rRNA from 1 species